rnacentral:lncRNA from 10 species
UCCCAAUCUCCUGGAGGAAACACUAGAAAUUAUCGAACUUACUUUCAAAUUUUAAUUUUUUUGAGACGGAGUCUCACUCUGUUGCCCAGGCUGAAGUGCAGUGCCACGAUCUCGGCUCACUGCAACCUCCACCUCCCAGGUUCAAGUAAUUCUCCUGUCUCAGUCUCCCAAGAGAUUACAGGCACCCACCACCAUGCCUGGCUAAUUUUUGUAUUUUUCGUAAAGACGAGGUUUCUCCAUGUUAGCCAGGCUGGUCU